UAGAUACCCUAGUAUGUAAAAAAAAUGAAAUUAAUAAGGAUUGAAAAUUAAUAAUUUUGGCGGUUAAUUUUUAAUUAGAGGAGCUUGUUGAUUAAGAAGAGGCUCUUUAUAUCUUUUUAAUAUAUAAGUUUAUUCAUCUCCGUUAUAAUGGGUAUAACUGAAAAAAGUUAAGGCUAUAAUUUCAGGUCAAGAUGUAGCUAAUAUUUUAUAAAAUUAGCUACAAUAAAGUAUUUAUGGAUUUUUUGGGGUAUAAUUAUCUGAAAUUGAAUUUAAUUGUAAUAAAUAAUUAAAAUGUUAAUAUGAAUUAUAUAGAUUAAUGUACAUAUUGCCCGUCACUUCUUUAUAAAUUGAAUAAGUCGUAACA
rnacentral:rRNA from 1 species